rnacentral:rRNA from 1 species
AGCAGCCGCGGUAAUUCCAGCUCCAAUAGCGUAUAUUAAAGUUGUUGCAGUUAAAAAGCUCGUAGUUGAAUUUCGGGAUCAAGGCGUCGGUCGUGCUUCGGUACGUACUGGCGUCAUUGAUUUCUCCCUUCUGACGAACCAUGAUGCCAUUAACUUGGUGUUAUGGGAAAUCAGGACUGUUACUUUGAAAAAAUUAGAGUGUUUAAAGCAGGCUCACGCUUGAAUACAUUAGCAUGGAAUAAUGAAAUAGGACGUUCGAUCCUAUUUUGUUGGUUUUUAGGAUCAACGUAAUGAUUAAUAGGGAUAAGUUGGGGGCAUUAGUAUUCAAUUGUCAGAGGUGAAAUUCUUGGAUUUAUUGAAGACUAACUACUGCGAAAGCAUUUGCCAAGGAUGUUUUCAUUAAUCAAGAACGAAAGUUAGGGGAUCGAAGACGAUCAGAUACCGUCGUAGUCUUAACCAUAAACUAUGCCGACUAGGGAUCGGAUGAUGU